rnacentral:misc_RNA from 1 species
AACGCACCUUGCACCUCUUGGUAUUCCGAGAGGUACACCUGUUUGAGUAUCAUUAAUUCUCUUCACUCUUUGGGUAUAUUCGUAAUAUAUCUAAAGGGCUGAGACUUUGGGGGAAGAACACUGCAGGCUUUAAUUGUUAUAUGUCUGCUCCCCUUGAAUGCAUUAGUGAGAAGUAGUGCUCCUUUUUGCAGCCUUUGGGUGAUAAGUUCUAGUCUACCAUUGGUUUAAAGGCUUCUUGCUUCUAACUGUCCCUAUUCUACUGGGACAAAUUUUAUAAACCAUGAUCUCAAAUCAGGUGGGACUACCCGCUGAACUUAA